UCGGGGUAAUGAGUGCCUAUUUGGACGUCGCGGCGGUUGUCACGGGCUCGAUGGGAGUUCCGGGUCGUGACAUGUCCAACCUCUUUGACACCAAGUCUAGCAGUGGAGAUCUUCUUGGAAUUUCUGUUUCGUAAAUUACGGCUAUGAUCCCACCAUUCAGGAUACCUCAUGAUUUCAAAGCAUCUACUUUUAGUAUGACCAGAUUGAUCACAAUGAAUGCAUUUGUAGGUGGAUUUGUUGGCAUCAUUUAUGGUCUUAUGAUAGUUGGACUUUGAUUGA